rnacentral:rRNA from 1 species
CCUACGGGAGGCAGCAGUGAGGAAUAUUGGUCAAUGGGCGCGAGCCUGAACCAGCCAAGUCGCGUGAGGGAAGACGGUCCUAUGGAUUGUAAACCUCUUUUGUCGGGGAGCAAACGACGCCACGCGUGGCGUUCCGAGAGUACCCGAAGAACAAGCAUCGGCUAACUCCGUGCCAGCAGCCGCGGUAAUACGUAGGUGGCGAGCGUUAUCCGGAAUGAUUGGGCGUAAAGGGUGCGUAGGCGGCCUGCUAAGUCUGGAGUGAAAGGUACCGGCUCAACCGGUACAGGCUCUGGAAACUGGCGGGCUAGAGAGCAGGAGAGGGCGGUGGAACUCCAUGUGUAGCGGUAAAAGGCGUAGAUAUAUGGAAGAACACCAGUGGCGAAGGCGGCCGCCUGGCCUGUUACUGACGCUGAGGCACGAAAGCGUGGGGAGCAAAUAGGAUUAGAUACCCUUGUAGUC